rnacentral:lncRNA from 1 species
GCAGAGAACAAAGAUUGGUGGCUUCCUCCUGAGCACACUGGGAUGUGGCAUUACAUCGGGGCUGCUGAGUGCCCUUACCUUCAGCUGCCCAGAUGCAGAGGCAGGUAUUUGGCUAGAAGUUAUCACUGAUACGUUUCCAGAACACAUGGAGGCCAAGGCAGACAAAAGUAAAGAUGGAAACCAGACCAGUAAAUAAGUCCUUUGAUGAACUUCUGAGUCUCUACAGAUGAAGGCAAAGCUCCCUCACAGUUGCAGGCAACGUCUCAUCUUUUGUCACUUCUGGCAUGACACUGCACAGCCACAGCCAGUACGGUAUCUCUGCCUUUGCCCAUGUCCUGCCUUCUUUCUCCCUGGUCGGUAUCUCCUCACCUCAACCAGCUUGGCCAGCUCCUUGGUCAUUGGGGUUGCACCCACCCAGGCAUGUGCCUGGCUCCGCACAACCUCAGAAGCUCUCAGUACAGUGCAGGACCAGAGGUUGAAACCAAUGAAAGGUUGUUAAAUAAAGAGAAAAUGUUUAAUGCUGAGAACAAAGACUAGGAAAGAGAUGUCUAAUAAGAAAUUUUACAGUGAAAUAC